AUGGCCCCUCACGCACCCUCUUGGAUCAGUCUGCCUCUGCUUCUCUUCUUGGCGUCAUCAACUUCCGUUGCGGCGGCGAGGGGGGCUUGGGCACCCAAAACCGCUGACCCCGCCGAUGGGUUCACGGCGGUGAGCCUCUGCGAGAGCAACUUUGUGCUGAAGCGAGCGGCACCCGGUACAGUUUCGAUGGCACCGUGCGGAAGCUGUGGGUGCUCUCCUCAGACAAGCCCCAUGACCGCCAGAGCCAUACCAGCCCAAGAACUGAGAUCAGGAAGGCAGGAUAUGACUACAGCUCCGGCGUGUGGCAGUUCGAAGCCUACGGGUACGUCCCCUCCGGCACGACGGGGGUGUCCAUCAUGCAGGUGUUCGGCGUCGGGGAGACGGCCACCACGCUCAUGCUGCACGUCUACGACGGCGCGCUGCGGUACUACGACCGGCAGAUCGUCGAGGACGCCAUCUAGGACAGGUGGUUCCGGCUGA
rnacentral:rRNA from 1 species